rnacentral:lncRNA from 1 species
GCCAGAGAGGCUAGAACGAAGCAAGCAGAGGAAGGUGGGAUAAGCUGGCUUGCUGAGUUUUCUAACUUUCAUCUUUUUCCCAUGCUGGAUGCUUCCUGCCGUUGGACAUCAGACUCCAGGUUCUUCGGGGACUCUUGGACUUACACCAGCGUUUUGCCGGGGGCUCUGUCGGCUGCACUGUCAGUUUCCCUACUUUUGAGACUUUUGGACUCGGACUGAGCCACUACUGGCUUCCUUCUUUCUCAGCUUGGAGACAGCCUAUCAUGGACUUCGCAUUGUGAUCGUGGCAGGUGCAAGCGUGUUAGCCCCACCUGAACUGCAUGAACAGACUCCUUACUGCGAAGAGGGGCGCUGUAAUCAAAAGAAAGGAAAAGGAGCACAGUUGAAUCUAAUUAACAGCUGUUAAUUAUACCUGGCACAUUUUUAGAAUUCCGUGAAAUGAAAAAUGAACAUUCUUUAAAAAAUAAUUUAGUUUUUCAACCAUUGUCCACUCCCACCCCAAGUAGUCCUGUUUGUAUUGUUGCCAUCUGUGUGUCCAUGAGUACCCAAUAUUUGGCUCACACUUAUAAGUGAGAACGCGGUAUUUGGCUUUCUGUUCCUGCGUUAAUUCACUUAGGAUAAUGGCUACAUCCAUGCUGCUGCAAAGGACAUGAUUUCAUUUUUUUUUAUGACUCCGUAAUGUUUCUGUUGUGUAUGUACCACAUUUUCUUUAUCCCGUCCACCACUGAUGGGCACCUAGGUUGAUCCCAUGUCUUUGUUAUUGUGAAUAGUGCUGCGAUGAACAUAUAGAUGCAUAUGUCUUUUGGUAGAAUGAUUUAUUUUCUUUUAGAUAGAUACCCAGUAAUGGGAUUGCUGGGUCAAAUGGUACUUUUGUUUUCAGUUUUUUGAGAAAUCUCCAAACUGCUUUGCACACUGGCUGAACUAAUUUACAUUCUCAUCAACAGUGUAUACAUGCUCCCUUUUCUCUGCAGCCUUGUCAGCAUCUGUUAUUUUUUGACUUUUUAAGAAUAGCUAUUCUGACUGGUAUGAUAUGGUAUUUUAUUGUGAUUUGAUUUGCCUUUCUCUAAUGAUUAGUGAUAUGGAGCAUUUUUUUCAUGUAUUUGUUGGCUGCUUGUGUUUUUUUUUUUUCUUUUUGGAGAAGUGUCUGUUCAUGUCUUUUCUCCGUUUUUAAUGGGGUUAUUUGUUUUUGCUUGUUCAAUUGUUUAAGUUACUUAUAGAUUCUGGAUAUUAGACCUUUGUCAGAUGUGUAGUUUGCAAAUGUUUUCUUCCAUUCUGUAGGUUGUCCAUAUAAUUUGUUAAUAAUUUAUCUUGCUGUGUGGAAGCUCUUUAGUUUAAUUAGGUCCCACUUGACAAUUUUUGUUUUCGUUGCAAUUGCUUUUGAGGACUUAGUCAUAAAUUAUUUCCCAAGGCCAAUGUCCCUAAUGGUGUUUCCUAGGUUUUCUUCUAGUAGUCUUAUAGUUUGAGGUCUUAAAUUUAAAUCUUAAUCCAUCUUGUAAUAAGAUAGGUGAAAUGUAGGGGUUGAAUUUCAUUCUUCUGCAUAUUGCUAGGCAGUUAUCCCAGCACCAUUUAUUGAAUAGUAAGUCCUUUUUCCAUUGCUUAUUUUUGUCACCUUCGUCGAGAUCAGAUGGCUGUAGGUGUGCAGCUUCACUUCUGGAUUCUGUAUUCUGUUCCAUUUAUCUAUGUGUCUGUUUUUGUUGUAGCCUUGUAGUAUAGCUUGAAGUCAGGUAAUGUGAUGCCUCUGGCUUUGUUGUUUUUGCUUGGAAUUGCUUUGGCUAUUCAGACUCUUUUUUGGUUCCAUAUGAAUUUUAGAAUAGUUUUUUUCUAGUUCUGUGAAAGAUGACAUUGGUAGUUUGAUAAGAAUAGUGUUGAAUAUGUAGAUUCCUUUGGCAGCAUGGCCAUUUUAACAAUAUUGAUUCUUUUUCCAUGUUUUGUUUUGUUUUUUCUUUUUUUUGAGAUGGAAUCUCCCUCUGUUGCUCAGGCUGGAGUGCAACCUCUGCCUCCCAGGUUCAAGUGAUUCUCUUGCCUCACCCUACUGAGUAGCUGGGAUUACAGGCAUGUGCCACCAUACCUGGCUGACUUUUGUAUUUUUAGUAGAGAUGGGGUUUUACCAUAUUGGCUAUGCUGGUCUCAAACUCCUGACCUCAACUGAUCUACCCGCCUCGGCCUCCCAAAGUGCUGGAAUUACAGGCAUGAGCCACCAUGCCCAGUGAUAUUUAUUCUUCUGAUCCAUGAGCAUGGAGUGCAUUUGUGUCAUCUAUGAUUUCUUUGAGCAGUGUUUUGUAGAUCUCCUUGUAAUGAUCUUUCAUCUCCCUGUUUAGAUGUAUUCCUAGGUAUUUUGUGUGUGUGUGGCUAUUGUAAAUGGGAUUGUAUUCUUGGUCUGGCUCUCAGCUUGAAUGUUGGUAUAUAGAAAUGCUAGUGAUACUUGUACAUUGAUUUUGUAUCCUGAAAUUUUACUGAAGUCAUCUAUCAGUUCCCUGAGCCUUUUUGUAGUGUCUUUAGGGUUUUCUAGGUAUAGAAUCAUAUUGUCCGUGAAGACUGAUAUUUUGACUUAUUUUCUGAUUCGAAUGCCUUUUAUUUCUUUCCUUUGCCUGAUUGCUCUGGCUAGCAAUGUACUAUGUUGAAUAGGAGUGGUGAGAGUGGGCAUCUUUGUGUUGUUCCAGCUCUUGAGGGAAAUGCUUCCAGUAUUUUUUGCCCAUUCAGUAUGAUGUUGGCUGUGGGUUUUACAUAGAUGGCUCUUAUUUUUGGAGGUAUGCUCCUUAGAUGCCUAGUUUCUUGAGGGUUUUUAGCAAGAAGCAAUGUUGGGUUUUAUUGAAAGCUUUUUCUGUGUUUAUUGAGAUGAUCAUAUGGUUUUUGUUUUUAAUUCUGUUUCUGUGGUCAAUCACAUUUCUUGAAUCGUGUAUGUUGAACCAACCUUGCAUCCUAGGAAUGAAGCCUACUUGAUUGUGGUGAACUAACUUUUUGAUGUGCUGUUGGAUUUGGUUUGCUAGUAUUUUGUUGAGGAUUUUUGCAUCUAUGUUCAUCAGGUAUAUUGGCCUGGAGUUUUUUU